GAUACUCACCAAGCUGCAGGUUGAUGGAGGUGAGCUCAGGGCCGGCGGCGGCAAUAUCGACAGAAAGGUGGAAGCUGAGACGAAGGUGAGCGGCGGUGACGGGAGCUUAAGUCCAGAGCAACAUGUAGUAUUUGCAUGGAAAAGGAUAAGAUAGGUGCACCAGAACAGCAGAACCUGAGGAAAUUAGAGGAAGGAGAGGGAAACUCCCAUUCACAUGUGAGGGAGGGUUAGGCCAUCAGCAAUAGCUUGUCCCCGACGGCGCCCUGCUUCGAGCCAUGAGCUGGUGCUGGCGCUUUUGGCCGUAGAGCAGAGCCGAGGAAGGAGGAGCAGGCACAGGCAGGCUGU
rnacentral:lncRNA from 1 species